UUCUGUAAGCCUGCGAAGGUGACCUGUGAGGGUUGCUGGAGGUAUCAGAAGUGCGAAUGCUGACAUAAGUAACGAUAAAGCGGGUGAAAAGCCCGCUCUCCGGAAGACCAAGGGUUCCUGUCCAACGAUAAUCGGGGCAGGGUGAGUCGACCCCUAAGGCGAGGCCGAAAGGCGUAGUCGAUGGGAAACAGGUUAAUAUUCCUGUACUUGGUGUUAAUGCGAAGGGGGGACGGAGAAGGCUAUGUUAGCCGGGCGACGGUUGUCCCGGUUUAAGCAUGUAGGCUGAUUGUCCAGGCAAAUCCGGAUAAUCAAGGCU
rnacentral:rRNA from 1 species